rnacentral:rRNA from 1 species
GAUGAACGCUGGCGGCGUGCUUAACACAUGCAAGUCGAACGGAAAGGCCAGUGCUUGCUCUGGUACUCGAGUGGCGAACGGGUGAGUAACACGUGGGUGAUCUGCCCUGUACUUCGGGAUAAGCUUGGGAAACUGGGUCUAAUACCGGAUAGGACAACUUUUUGGAUAUUGUUGUGGGAAGCUUUUGCGGUAUGGGAUGAGCUCGCGGCCUAUCAGCUUGUUGGUGGGGUAAUGGCCUACCAAGGCGUCGACGGGUAGCCGGCCUGAGAGGGUGUACGGCCACAUUGGGACGGAGAUACGGCCCAGACUCCUACGGGAGGCAGCAGUGGGGAAUAUUGCACAAUGGGCGCAAGCCUGAUGCAGCGACGCCGCGUGGGGGAUGAAGGCCUUCGGGUUGUAAACUCCUUUCGCUAGGGACGAAGCUUUUUUGUGACGGUACCUGGAGAAGAAGCACCGGCUAACUACGUG